AGUCUGAAGAUGGGAAGCCCCGGGAAAUUCCUUUCUUUCCACCCUCUCCUUCUCCACCGCGCCGAGAAGCCUUCAGCGACACGCUAGAGUACUCUGGGACACGCUUAGCAUUCUCUGGAGUUCUGCCUCUCCCCCAGGAUUCUUGUGUCUCUCCCGGGUCUUACUAUAUCCUCUCCCCGGGGAUUCCCUCCUCUCCCUCCUGGGUCUCCCCUUAUGUUUUCCGCAGCCUUCUCCACCCCCACCCCCCAUCGGCCUGCCCCAAAUCCUCUUCCUGGAAGCGCGUCCAUCCCCCUCCCCUGCCCUUUCUUCUCUGUCCCAUGACUCCCCACUUCCUAUUCGAACUCCUCUCCCCACAGGGCUGCCCUGACCCCUCCCCGGAUCCCUUGUCUCCACCUUGCCCCCGGGGAGCUUUAUUUUUCCCUGGCUCGCAUUUAUCCAGUGUUCAGUCUUCUCUUUCCUAAGCACCCCCUCCUUUUCCAAGGGUGUUGUCCCCCCCCCUCCAAGAUUCCUGUGGCCCUGCCCCUCGCGCCCCCGCCCUCCCCCCCCCCCCCCCCCCCCCGCCAAACCGACAGGCUCUGAGCCUUCCGUACCUGCUUUGUCCCCUACUCCAGAAGAGGCCAAGCUCAAGGGCCCACCUGAGACUGAGCCUGAGGGCACUUGUACAUUCUCGUAGGAUGUGACCCCAAAGGGCUUACUUCCACAGGUGGGAAGAAGCUGGAACAAGACAAGGGACUCGGUUGUAAAGGUAGAUAACAGGAGGCAGCCCAGCGAUGAGGACAGCAAAUGAGGAAUUUGCUGUGUGGAAAGGGGCUCAUCUGUAUAAAUUUUGGUGAAGUCCAGCCCACAUCAAGAAGUCAAGGAAGGCUUAUGAGACCCUGAAAACCAGGUUGUAUACAACUUCAUUAGUUUAGUCCACUGGCUCUGGGAGGCUCUAAUUUAUAGACAGAGCAUGGUAGGCAGAAUAAUGGCCUCUCCAAAAUGUUCACACUUUAAUCCCCAGAAUCUGUGAGUAUGUUACUUUACUUGACAAAAAUGUAAAUGUGGUUAAGGACUUACUGCAUUUAGUAAAAACAUCCAAGUAUGUUAAAUAAUAAGAAUAAUAACAGGCAUCUCUGUCUAAAUGUUUUUUUUUAAUGUUUAUUUAUUUUUGAGAGAGAGAGACAGAGCGUGAGUAGGGGAGGGGCAGAGAGAGAGGGAGACACAGAAUCUGAAGCAGGCUCCAGGCUCUGAGCUGUCAGCACAGAGCCCGAUGCAGGGCUCAAACUCACAAACUGUGAGAUCAUGACCUGAGCCAAAGUCAGACACUCAACCAACUGAGCCACCCAGGUGCCCCACUAAAUGUUUAUUUUAAUGGAAGUGGUUUUAGUAUUUCACCCUUGAGAACAAUGUUUGCUGUUAAGUUUUAGUAAAAAGCCUUCAUUAUAUUUCAGCAGUUUUCCUCUUUUUCAUUUUUACAUAGAAUUUUUAUAAGGAACUAUAUUAAAUUAAGCUGGCUCUAACUAUUAAAUAUGGGAGCUUUUCUUCUUUUCCUAUAGUUUUGACUAAAUUAAAUGGCAUGGAAGCUAUCAUUAUUUAAGAAUAGAUAAAACUUAGUUCUGGUGUCAUUUGAAUGCAAUCUUUUCUAAAAGUAGGUCUAUAAUCACCUUUUUAUUCUAGUCUUUUCUAAGAUAAGUUGAGCUAUUCAAGCUUUCUUCUUUCUCUUGGGCCAAUUUUAGUAAUUUACAUUUUUCCUAAAAUGUAUCUAUUACCUCUAAAUUUUCAAGUUAGUUGAGGAAUUUUAUUUAUUAUUGUUAUUAUUUUUAAUGUUUAUUUUUGAGAGAGACAGAGCAUGAGCGGGGGAGGUGGGGAGAGAGAAGGAGACCUAGAAUGUGAAGCAGGCUCCAGGCUCUGAGCUGUCAGCACAGAGCCCUACACAGGGCUUGUACUCACAAGCUGCAAGGUCAUGACCUGAGCUGAAGUCAGCUGCCCAACUGAUUGGGCCACCCGGGUGCCCUGAUGAGGAAUUUUAAGUUGCACCUUUUUAUAAUUCUUUAAUUCUUUCUUCUAACUAAUAUUGUCUAUUUUUACUCCUUUUUUCUUUGUGUGUGUGUGUGUGUGUGCAUGCUUGUAAGAGGUUUAUUAGCCCUUUUAUUUAUUUAUUUUUUAAUGUUUAAUUAUUUUUGACAGAGAGACAGAGCAUGAAUGGGGGAGGAGCAGAGAGAGAGGGAGACACAGAAUCUGAAGCCAACUCCAGGCUCCGAGCUCUCAGCACAGAGCCUGACGCGGGGCUCGAACUCACAUACCUCGAGAUCAUGACCUGAGCUGAAGUCGGAAGCUCAACCGACUGAGCCACCCAGGCGCCCCUUUAUUAGCCCUUUUAAAGAACUUUUUAAAGUGUAUGCUCUUUAGUAUUUUUGUUGGUUCUCCGUUUCAUUCAUGUCAGCUUUUGAUAUUUCCUGCUUAUUUUUGGUUUCUUGUUCUUUUUGUAAUCUAUUGAAAUAAGUACUCCCCUUUCUCUCUCUCUCUCUCUCUCUCUCUCUCUCUCUCUCUUUUAAGCUUGCUAUCUUUAUAGCAUUUGGGGCAUAUAUGAUACAGGGCAAUUGAGAUGGCAUCCAGCAUUACACUAUUUUUUCAUUAAGCAUUUAAAUUUUGUAAAUACUAUAAUUUUGUUCUUUUUUAAAACCAGCUUUACUGUAUUGUAAUUGGCACGCAAUAAAUUUUAUCAGUAUUAAGUGUACAAUCCUAUGAGUUUUGACAAAUGUAUUCAGUCAUGUAACCACCACCACAAUCAAGAUCCAGAAGACUCCCAUCAUCCUAAAAGUUCCCUCCUACCUCUUUGCAAGCAAUCCUCACACCACUUCCAGCUGGUAACUUAAAUUCCCCUUGUUGGAUACCAGUAUUACCACUGCUUUCUGUUUAUCUGCCUGGUGUCUCUUUCCCAUAUUUUUAAUUUGAAUCUUUAUCACUUUGCCUUUUUUUUCUUUAAUGUUUAUUUGUUUUUGAGAGAGAGAGAAAGAGCGCAUGUGAGGGGCAGAAAGAGAGGGGGACAGAGGAUCUGAAGGAGGCUCCUCGCUGACAACAGAAAGCCUAAUGUGGGGCUUGAACUCACGAACUGUGGGAUCAUGACCUGAGCCCAAGUAGGGUGCUUAACCCACUGAGCCACCCAGGUGCCCCUUGAUCACUUUGCUUAGAAGAAGUAUGUUUCUUCUAAGUAGCAUUGACCAGAUUUUGACUUAUAAGAAAGUCUUAGAGUCUUUUAAUGGAAGAAUUCAGUCCACUCAUAUUACUAUACUGAGUGAUAUAUUUGAUUUAUUUCCAUCUUACUUGUUUUUGAAUUUGUAAACAUUGUUGUGAACCCUUCUUUACCUUUGUUGGAUUGAAUGAAUGGCUAUUCAUCCCAUUUUCUCCUUGUUAAUUUGGAGUUUGUCGUUCUAUUAAUAGUUACCAUCUUUUGCCUUGUUCUCUGAAAUAGAUGCACAUGAUUGUUCUAGUAUGUGAAAACAGAACAACUAUUUCCAUCAUACUUUACUUAUCUUCUACUUCCUCCCCACCUCAAUAAGAAAUGGUCUUUAGACUACUUUCACUACCUUUCCUCCUCCUUCCCCCCCACCACCCCAGAUCCUUGGAACACUUACCUUUGACUUACCCUCACCACCUGAUUCCAGAGUUUUCUUGAGAUGAUUCAGUCCCUAUUAGAAGUUCCUUUACAAUGUAUGUGUUCCUUCUGUUUCAAGAGUUUUAGCAUUUAUAUGAUGUACUAUACAUAU